AAUUUGAAGAGGGUGGAAAAAGAUGAGUGGAAAGUGAAUGAGAAGAAAUAGCAUGUAAUAACAUACUAUAAGGUACAAACCCUUUGACAUAUUUUAAUCAUUGUUGUAAAUAUAUAUGGUGGAGCCCACCUCUUACCUAUAAAUAAGCCCCCUCCCCUUCUCUUUGUAAUAACAGAGAUGAGAUUGUAAACACACAGAAAUGAAUGAGAAUACAUUCCCUUCUCUCUCUCUCUCAAUUCUCUCCAAAUUCUCCAGAUUUAUAACACGUUAUCAGCACGAAUUCGCUAAAACAAUACCAGCUGAAUUCUCUGAUGAAACCCAGAUCGCCUCAACGCUCUCUCUCUCUCUCUGACCUCAAAACCAAAAUUUCAGUUUCCAAAGCUCAUAGCAAGACCCAAAAGUGACCAAAUCAGCCAUGGAAAAUGGGGCUGUGAACCAGCAAAUACCAGUGGACACAACUUCUGCAACAAUCACCAUAAAAAGGCAUCCUGAGCUUGCUGUUGCAGAAGGUUGAUGAAAAUGAUAACAAAAGGCUGGCGACCCAACUGCCUAUUCUUGCUUCCACACAACCCAAGUGGCUCAAGAAGCUGUUGUUGAUGCUAUCCAAUCUGACAAGUUCAACGGCUAUGCUCCUACUGUUGGCCUUCCUCUUAAAAUCCCAAAUCCUCGGCUCUGCUUCCCAAGGCUCACUAGACAUGAAGUGCUUCUCUUCAUGGUCGUGCAGGAUCAGCAUCUGCUUCUCCAAGUCUGCAUACCCAUUUUGAUUUUGAUUUGCCAUUUUUGUUUAACUACUUUACUGAGUCUCUAGCAUAGUAGCCGACAAUGGGAAAGCAAAGUUGAUUGGCAGACAAAGUGGGAAAGCAAACUUGAUUGGCAGACAAAGUGGGAAAGCAAAAUUGAUUGCCAGCACUUUCGUUAUGUGCAAUCCGAGCUCUCAGUCCACACACCGAUAAAGAAAAGCAAACUCAGCAAGGGCACUGACCCUAAAGUAGCGAUAAGAUCUCUGCUCCCUGAUCUUCCCUAUUAUUUCUUAUUAUAUUUAUCUGCUUUUCUUUUACUAACCAUUAACAGAAAUGGACCCUUGGUAAUACUAAACAUAUUAUCAGUGGGAGACCGUUACUAAUACUAACAUUUUUCUUAUUUUAUUCGGUGGUGAUUUUUAACCCCAUAUUUAUUUUAUUUACUGUAUGGUGUAGGUUUAUUACCCAUACAACAGCAUUUAUUUAAAAGGGUGGUGCGGGUUUAUCGUCCACGCCUUUACUUUUAUUUAAAUGUAUGGAGCAGAAUUAGUGCCCAUACAAGCACCUUUACUUUACUGCAAAUUUACUUUACCGCACAUUUAUUUUAUUUACUGUAUGGUGUAGGUUUAUUACCCAUACAACCAGUAUUUAUUUAAAAGGGUGGUGCGGGUUUAUCGUCCACGCCUUUACUUUUAUUUAAAUGUAUGGAGCAUAAUUAGUGUCCAUACAAGCACAAUUUACUUUACCGCACAUUUAAUUUUAUUUAAAGUAUGGUGCGGGAUUAACGUCCAUACAGCAAGCAAUUUAAUUUAUGAAUUUAUUUUACCGCACAUUUACAUUUAUUUAAAAGGGUGGUGCGGGUUUAUCGUCCACGCCUUUACUUUUAUCUAAAUGUAUGGAGCAGAAUUAAUGCCCAUACAAGCACCUUAACUUUAUGAAUUUAAUUUACCGCACAUUUACAUUUAUUUAAAGUGUGGUGCGGGUUUAUCGUCCAUACCAGUAAUUUAUUUACCAGCAAUUUAUUUUAUGGAUUAAAUGUGCUGUAUGGUGAGUUUUUUUUUACAAUAUGCAGAUCAGGACCAGAAGUUCCUUGAUCCUCAUCAUACAAUUACAUCAGGACUUGAAGAUCCUUGAUGAUGAUAUUAAUAUGAGAGCUGGCAGUCUCUCCGGUACUGUAUUUGUAAACAUGUGAUCGAAAUUAAGGGUCCUUGAUCCCUGACAUGUAAAUAAGGACCUAGAGUUCCUUAAUGAUGUAACAGUACCGUAUUGGUUCAUAGUGCCGUACACAUUGAUGAUAACUGUACUGGCAGAUGAAUAGAUACGUAUUCAUGACUUGAUGAAUAGUACUAUUCACAUGAAUAGUGACGUAUGCAUAAAUAUGAACCAUUUUGGAUAAACCGUCACUAUAUACAAAAGGGAACCUACAGUUUCAUGGUGCCGUACACAUUGAUGAUAACUGUACUGGCAGAUGAAUAGAUACGUAUUCAUGACUUGAUGAAUAGUACUAUUCACAUGAAUAGUGACGUAUGCAUAAAUAUGAACCAUUUUGGGUAAACCGUCACUAUAUACAAAAGGGAACCUGCAGUUCCUUAAACUCAUGGAUGAGCAAUUAAAUGAGAUGCCAGAAGUUCCUCAAAAUAUGGACAAUUAUGUAAGGGAUUGAAGUCCCGAAAGGACAAUCCUUUGACAUGUCAAUAUUGAUAUUAUGCACGCCUAAUGCGUAGCAAAUUAUAUGGGUUAAAGUCCCAGAAAUUAAUUGACAUGUAUGUAUUAAUCUGUGGCAUGCCUGCAGCAUGACAGAUAUAUGGGUGCACGCCUGUUGCGUAGCAAAUGAUAUGGAUUGAAGUCCUGAAAGGACAAUCCUUUGACAUGUCAAUAUUGAUAUUAUGCACGCCUAAUGCGUAGCAAAUUAUAUGGGUUAAAGUCCCAUAAUAUGGGUUAAAGUCCCAGAAAUUAAUUGACAUGUAUGUAUCUGUGGCAUGCCUGUAGCAUGACAGAUAUAUGGGUUCUAAAUGUUCCAACUCCCUAAAUGGAGAUUUUCCACGCCCUAUGUAAAAUAACGCUCCAAUGGAGGUUAUAAUCCACAUUCUCACAUAAUAAAAGCACCAUGAAGUGGCUUGGGUACCCAAAAGCAAAAGAAAUGCUUAUAAUUGAUGCAUGCGCAUGCACAUGAGAAUUGUGAGAUUAUGAAUUGAUGAAUGACAAUUUUUGGUUUUGGAGUAGCUACUCAAAUCAUCAAUGGGCUGUGUUGAUUGGAACCACGUUCAAUUAUUAAAUGUCGACAAUAUCAUUGGCCAAAAUGGAACGAGGUAAUUCCAUUAUAAAUGAGAAUGAACGUGAAAGAACAAACCCGCAAUACGAACCCCAAAAUUUGUUAAUACUUAAAUUUAUACUUGGGUGUUCGGAAUAAAAGGGAAUAUACCUACUUUGUAUGACACAAUGUUUCUGGCAGAAACAAUGAAUGUUGGGUCUUUUCCAUAUUUACAGAUUCAAUUGUGCCCCCCCCCCCCUUUCUGCACAAUUACGGAGACCAACAUAUUAUCUUUAAGGGUCAUUAAAUGCACAGAGCAAAUCGCCAGAAGCGAUUCCCUAAAGAUGUAUAAAUAGCUGGGUUAAAGCUAUAUAAUGUGUCAUAAAAUUUAAUCCCCUUUUUAAACAAAAUCCGUUGAGAGGAUUGACAUUGCAUAAAGCAAGUCCCUAAAGGACAUGUGCUUGAAGCACAAAAAUUUGUACUCAAUAUUAAUAUGCAUAAAUUACCUCAGUGAGUACAUUGAUUAUAAUGUGAUUGCAACACAUUAAAGCUUCUGCACCCAUUCACGAAAUAUUUGUCUCGAUCGAGCAUUAUACCAACGAGAUUCUUGCUUAUACUAAGAAAGUAUUGAAGCAUUUUUAUGAGGAUUAUCCGUUGGACACUUUAAGGAUUUUCCGGAAGUAUACUAGACCAGAUAGAGCUCAGCUCCACACUGUACUCUUUUUCCUUCAUCCAGGUUUUUAUCCCAUUGGGUUUUUCCUGGUAAGGUUUUAACGAGGCAGUGUCGCUCAAGGGUUUAGGGUAUACUAUGAAAAUUUUUAUGGUCGCUUACUGGACAAAAGAUAGUCCUAAAUUNNNNNNNNNNNNNNNNNNNNNNNNNNNNNNNNNNNNNNNNNNNNNNNNNNNNNNNNNNNNNNNNNNNNNNNNNNNNNNNNNNNNNNNNNNNNNNNNNNNNGGGGGAGAUAUUCACAAAGGGGAGCGUGGUUUUUAUAAAGACCUCCAUACACUGUACUCUUUUUCCUUCAUCCAGGUUUUUAUCCCACUGGAUUUUUCCUGGUAAGGUUUUAACGAGGCAGUGUCGCUCAAGAUUAACUCACAGAAGCAGUGUCAACUACGAUAUUCAGAAAGGUGAUCAACAGUAUGACUUCAAGAUAUUUUGUCAAGCAUCAGGGGGAGCGUGCAAUCAAUAAAGAUCUUCAAACACUGUACUCUUUUUCCUUCGUCCAGGUUUUUUAUCCCACUGGGUUUUUCCUGGCAAGGUUUUAACGAGGCAGUGUCGCACGCGCAUCAAUAUACACAGAAUUUUAUGUUACACAUGAUUAUGUACUCUUUUUCCCUUUGACCAGUUUUUUUGUCCCACUGGGUUUUUACUGGCAAGGUUUUUAACGAGGUAUAUUCCAUACCAUUUGUGGUCUCCAAGGGGGAGUGUUGUAAAUAUAUAUGGUGGAGCCCACCUCUUACCUAUAAAUAAGCCCCCUCCCCUUCUCUUUGUAAUAACAGAGAUGAGAUUGUAAACACACAGAAAUGAAUGAGAAUACAUUCCCUUCUCUCUCUCUCAAUUCUCUCCAAA
rnacentral:lncRNA from 1 species